rnacentral:tRNA from 1 species
GCGGUUGUGGCUCAGUGGUAGAGCGCAUGCCCAUCACGAGUGAGGUGCUGGAUUCGAUCCUCAGCACCACA